CGUGUGUGUGUGUGUGUGUGUGUGUGUGUGUAUACAUACACACACACACACACACACACUAUAUAUAUAUA
rnacentral:miRNA from 1 species